rnacentral:rRNA from 1 species
ACGGGGGCAGCAGUGGGGAAUAUUGGACAAUGGGGGAAACCCUGAUCCAGCGACGCCGCGUGAGUGAAGAAGUAUUUCGGUAUGUAAAGCUCUAUCAGCAGGGAAGAUAAUGACGGUACCUGACUAAGAAGCCCCGGCUAACUACGUGCCAGCAGCCGCGGUAAUACGUAGGGGGCAAGCGUUAUCCGGAUUUACUGGGUGUAAAGGGAGCGUAGACGGUAUGGCAAGUCUGAUGUGAAAACCCAAGGCUCAACCAUGGGACUGCAUUGGAAACUGUCAAACUAGAGUGCAGGAGGGGUAAGCGGAAUUCCUAGUGUAGCGGUGAAAUGCGUAGAUAUUAGGAGGAACACCGGUGGCGAAGGCGGCUUACUGGACUGUAACUGACGUUGAGGCUCGAAAGCGUGGGGAGCAAACAGGAUUAGAUACCCUGGUA